GGGUCUUCAAUUUAUUGCUGAAACCAAAGAGUCGGAUAAGGUUGAGAAACCAGUAGAAAAUGUGAAGAAUGAUCUUGAUAUCUACCCUGGUGAAAAAGUCAAAACUGUGAAGACGAGAAUACACAGGUCAUAUCCGGUUGGGUUUUCUUUGACCCGAGACAUUGUCGGAUCUGGCAUAUAGAUUUCAAUUAUCUACUGGAUGUUUUUGAUUUUUUAUGCAGACA
rnacentral:lncRNA from 1 species